GCCUUAUCUUAAAGAAUCAGCUUUCAAGUGCCUUCCUGCAGUUUCCCGGGAGUACAAGAUAGGUU
rfam:Loxodonta africana unplaced genomic scaffold scaffold_26, whole genome shotgun sequence.